UUAGUGGCGAACGGGUGAGUAACACGUGGGCAAUCUGCCCUUCACUCUGGGACAAGCCCUGGAAACGGGGUCUAAUACCGGAUAACACCGGCUUCCGCAUGGGAGCUGGUUGAAAGCUCCGGCGGUGAAGGAUGAGCCCGCGGCCUAUCAGCUUGUUGGUGGGGUAAUGGCCUACCAAGGCGACGACGGGUAGCCGGCCUGAGAGGGCGACCGGCCACACUGGGACUGAGACACGGCCCAGACUCCUACGGGAGGCAGCAGUGGGGAAUAUUGCACAAUGGGCGAAAGCCUGAUGCAGCGACGCCGCGUGAGGGAUGACGGCCUUCGGGUUGUAAACCUCUUUCAGCAGGGAAGAAGCGAAAGUGACGGUACCUGCAGAAGAAGCGCCGGCUAACUACGUGCCAGCAGCCGCGGUAAUACGUAGGGCGCAAGCGUUGUCCGGAAUUAUUGGGCGUAAAGAGCUCGUAGGCGGCUUGUCACGUCGGGUGUGAAAGCCCGGGGCUUAACCCCGGGUCUGCAUCCGAUACGGGCAGGCUAGAGUGUGGUAGGGGAGAUCGGAAUUCCUGGUGUAGCGGUGAAAUGCGCAGAUAUCAGGAGGAACACCGGUGGCGAAGGCGGAUCUCUGGGCCAUUACUGACGCUGAGGAGCGAAAGCGUGGGGAGCGAACAGGAUUAGAUACCCUGGUAGUCCACGCCGUACACGUUGGGAACUAGGUGUUGGC
rnacentral:rRNA from 1 species